UAGGGAAUAUUGCGCAAUGGACGAAAGUCUGACGCAGCCACGCCGCGUGAGUGAGGAAGGCCUUCGGGUUGUAAAGCUCUGUCAUUCGGGAAAAACAGCCAGUCGGGGAAAGUUCGAUUGGUUUGAUGGUACCGAAGGAGGAAGCACCGGCAAACUCUGUGCCAGCAGCCGCGGUAAUACAGAGGGUGCAAGCGUUGUUCGGAAUUACUGGGCGUAAAGCGUGCGUAGUCGGUAUUGAGAGUCACGGGUGAAAUCCCCACGCUUAACGUGGGAACUGCCUGUGAGACCUCAGUACUAGAGUGUGAGAGGGGAUAGUGGAAUACCAAGUGUAGCGGUGAAAUGCGUAGAGAUUUGGUGGAACACCGGUGGCGAAGGCGGCUAUCUGGCUCACAACUGACGAUCAGGCACGAAAGCGUGGGGAGCAAACAGGAUUAGAUACCCCCGUAGUCC
rnacentral:rRNA from 1 species